CGGACGGGUGAGUAAUGCUUGGGAAUCUAGCUUAUGGAGGGGGAUAACUACGGGAAACUGUAGCUAAUACCGCGUAAUAUCGAAAGAUUAAAGUGUGGGACCUUCGGGCCACAUGCCAUAAGAUGAGCCCAAGUGGGAUUAGGUAGUUGGUGAGGUAAAGGCUCACCAAGCCGGCGAUCUCUAGCUGGUCUGAGAGGAUGACCAGCCACACUGGGACUGAGACACGGCCCAG
rnacentral:rRNA from 1 species